rnacentral:rRNA from 1 species
UACAGAGGUCCCAAGCGUUGUUCGGAUUCACUGGGCGUAAAGGGCGCGUAGGUGGCCGGGAAAGUUCGAUGUGAAAGCUCUGAGCUCAACUCAGAAAUGGCAUUGAAUACUAUUCGGCUGGAGGGUUGGAGGGGGGACUGGAAUUCUCGGUGUAGCAGUGAAAUGCGUAGAGAUCGAGAGGAACACCAGUGGCGAAGGCGGCGCACUGGACCAUAACUGACGCUGAGGCGCGAAAGCUAGGGGAGCAAACAGG